CACCGGUUCAAACCGAACCGGUGACAUAAAUGGUAAAGGCCACCGGUUUUGAACCCGUGGCAAUAAUCAAUUAAAAAAAAAAACGCCCCCCUUAUAAACCCCAAACCCUACCUUAUUUCUCUCAUCAGCCGCUCUUUCAUUCUCUCUCCUGCUCCUCUCUCUCCUGCUCUCCCCUCUCCUCUUUCUCUCUCGUAGUCUCUGUUCUCCACGAACAGUUCUCCCCUAGAUCUCCUCCUUCUCUUUCUCAUCUCCUUCUCCCUCCUGUCGUCUCCUUCUCCCUCUUCUCCUUCAAUCUCCUCGUCUCCUUCUCUUUCAUUUCCACCAUCACCAAGACCACCACCGCAACAAUAACACCACGAAAACAUGCACCACUAAGACAAGCACGAGGUAUAUUGAUCAAGAUCUUAAAUUGAAGAACAUGCAAGAAUAUUGAAUUAGAUGUUGGGUUUUUUUGUUUUUAUGUUGUAAUUUUUUUUUUAAUUUAAUAUUGGAAUUUUAGUUUGUAAUCUCAUUAAUUUAGUUAUUUGGAAUUGUUGUAUGAGUAAUUUAUUUGUAGUUAUUAAUUUAGUUUUUUCACUCUUAAAAAGUGUACAAUUACUAGUUAUUGAUGAAUAUAUGUGUGUUUCAUGUA